rnacentral:rRNA from 1 species
UACGUAGGGUGCAAGCGUUGUCCGGAAUUAUUGGGCGUAAAGAGCUCGUAGGCGGUUUGUCGCGUCUGCUGUGAAAACUCGGGGCUUAACCCCGGGCCUGCAGUGGGUACGGGCAGACUAGAGUGCGGUAGGGGAGACCGGAAUUCCUGGUGUAGCGGUGAAAUGCGCAGAUAUCAGGAGGAACACCGGUGGCGAAGGCGGGUCUCUGGGCCGAUACUGACGCUGAGGAGCGAAAGCGUGGGGAGCGAACAGG